UUACGACCACAUCAGGCUGAAACACUGCUUCCCGUACGAUCACCGAAGUUAAGCAACGUCAAGUCUGGACAGUAUCUAGAUGGGUGAAUAUAGGAAUACCAGUUGCUGUAA